UACGGAGGGUGCAAACGUUGCUCGGAAUCAUUGGGCGUAAAGCGCACGUAGGCGGUCCGGUAAGUCGGGAGUGAAAGCCCUCGGCUCAACCGAGGAAGUGCUUUCGAAACUACCGGACUUGAGUAUGGAAGAGGGUCGCGGAAUUCCCGGUGUAGAGGUGAAAUUCGUAGAUAUCGGGAGGAACACCAGUGGCGAAAGCGGCUCACUGGACCAUAACUGACGCUGAUGCACGAAAGCUAGGGGAGCAAACAGG
rnacentral:rRNA from 1 species